rnacentral:tRNA from 1 species
CCGCCAUUAGCUCAUCAGGAAAGAGCGCCAGCAUUCGAAGCUGGUUGCGCGGGGUUCGGGUCCCCGAUGGCGGUCCA